rnacentral:rRNA from 1 species
UGGCUCAGGUAUGAGCGCUGGCGGCGUUGCUUAAUACAUGCAAGUCGGACGGAGAUUGUAGCAAUACGAUCUUAGUGGCGAACGGGUGAGUAACGCGUUGGUGACCUGCCCCGAAGAGAGGGAUAACAGAUCGAAAGGUCUGCUAAUACCACAUGUGGUCUAGUUGGUUAGAGGCGAUUAGACUGAAGGGGUAAUCCGCUUCGGGAGGGGCCUGCGUCCCAUCAGCUAGUUGGUAGGGUAAAGGCCUACCAAGGCGACGACGGGUAGGGGACCUGAGAGGGUGACCCCCCACACUGGCACUGAAACACGGGCCAGACACCUACGGGUGGCAGCAGUAGGGAAUAUUGCGACAAUGGGCGAAAGCCUGAUGCAAGCAACGCCGCGUGCGCGAUGAAGGCCUUCGGGUUGUAAAGCGCUUUUCUGGAGGACGAGCAAGGACGGUACUCCAGGAAUAAGGCUCGGCUAACUACGUGCCAGCCGCAGC